rnacentral:lncRNA from 1 species
CAGAGCCUUCUGCAAGUCAAGCACUGGUGCUUUGAUGGGCCCCUGAGCCCGCUGCCCUCCCGCAUUGGGCCCAGUGGAUUGGAGUAAUCCGUUACCCAAGAGACAUGACUGCUUCCUCCUUAAAGGCCCCAGCCCUGGGUCUUAUGAAUAAACUCUUAGUAGCUUUCCUGGUUCUCUUAUUUUUAUGCAGGGCUUGACUUGAUAGCCGAAAAUGCAAUGUCUUCCCCUAAACAGAUUGCUUCUGUUCCCUUGGUGUCCUUGUCACUUUAAGUCUAGCCUUCCUCCCAGUUUCUGCAGAAAAGCCAUUGUUCUACAGCCGGCCAUUGAAGACGGUAUUUGGCUGAUGGUUCGUUACCGCAUGUGCUCACUGUUGGCUUUAUUGAGCUGCUUAAACAUCAGCGUUAGGAAUGGAAGCUAUGUAGCUCUGGGAACCUCUAGUUCCAAAUAGGAAAGCCUUGCAAAAUUUCCAGCUGGCAAACGGACAAAACUGAGGGCGUGAAAGUUGCUCCAGAGGCUGAGAGCCUGCUGAAGAACUCAGCUCCGCCAGGUCACGUGGUAGUUGUAUGUUUCGUUUUGUAAGAAACUGACCAGCUCUUUUCGAGUGGCUGUACCACUGUUCCCACCAGCAAUGUCUGACUGGUCCUGUUUUGCAUUUGGUGGCGUUGCCCUUUUUUUCAUUUUGUCCAUCCCGACAGGUGUGCAGUGUUAUCUUACGGUGGUUUUCAUCUGUGAGUCCCCCGUGGGUGGUGAUGUGGAAAUUAUUUCCUGUGCCUAGUCUGCCGUCUUUGGCUCUUCUUUGGCCAAAUGUCUCUUCAUGUUUCCUGCUCAUUUUCUUGUUGAAUUUUAGGUGUUUUGUGUGUGUGUGUGUGUGUGUUUUAACAAUUCUGAAGGAGUGUUUUCCUGUUUUUAGAAUUCUCUUUCCAUCCAGGCUUCUAAUCAAGCACCAGAGUAGAAAUAACACUGUUGACAGCUGAUAAAGAUCUAAAUACGUAUGACUGGAGUUCCCGUUGGGGUGCGGUGGAAACAAAUCCGACUAGGAACCAUGAGGUUGCGGGUUCGAUCCCUGGCCUUGCUCCGUGGGUUAAGGGUCUGGCGUUGCCCUGAGCUGUGGUGUCGGUCACAGAUGCAGCUCAGAUCCCGCAUUGCUGUGGCUCUGGCGUAGGCCAGCAGCUACAGCUCCGAUUAGACUCCUAGCCUGGGAACCUCUAUAUGCCUCGGGUGUGGCCCUAAAAAAAAAGGCAAAAAAAAAAAAAUAUGUAUGACCUGCCACAGGUAUCCUUUUGGGAGAAACUAUGGGAGAAUGUGCUCCCCAAAAACAAGGGGGGGGGAGGAACAGAAUUAUAUAAGAAAAGAAAUGCAUGCAUGGCACACGACACGACUUGGCUGUCGUAUAUACAUUAUUUUACAUUAUUUAUGCAUUACUCUGAUAUGUCCUCUAUGUAUUAACAUUGACUCUUGGGUUAACUGGAAAUGUUAUAAAAUUACCAUAAGAAGAAAGAAAUAGGAAAAGUGUGAUUGGAGCAGUGAGAAUAGAGUUAAAUUCUAAGCUCCUUGGGCAGGAAGUCUAAACUAACACUAAACACAUCAACCUAGGGGGGUUUUUUGUGCAUUUUUUGUUUUUUAUUGUUCAGUUUUGAAAUUAUUUGUUCAAGAGACUUGUCUUUUGUCAGAUAUGCGAUUUGCACGUAUUUUCACCUGAAGUAUACUUGUCUUUUCAUCCUCAUUAUAAUGUCCUUUUUAGACCAAACAUUUUAAAUUUUGAUGAGAUCCAAUUUAUCGAUUUUUCCUUUUAGGGGUUGUGUUUUCUAGUGUCAAGCCUAAGAACUUUUUACUUAGCUGUAGAUCUUAAAGACGUUUCUCCUGUUUGUUCUCCAAGUUUUUUUUUUUUUUUUUAGUUUUAAUUCUACGUCUCAGUCCAUGACCUAUUUGAAGUUAGUUCUUGUCUUAGAUGUGAGACCUUAGAUUGAGGUUCGUUUUUAUUAUUAUGAUGAUGAUGGAUUUCUACACCAGCACCAUGUGUUGAAAAGGCUGUCAUUCCUCCAUCGUCUUCAUUUGUAUCAAAAACGAGUGGGGCAUAUUCGUAUAGAGCUACAUCAGGGUUUUGUGAUCUGUCCACUGGUCUAUAUGUUGAUCCCUUUGCCAAAACCACACUGCCGUGAUUACAGAGUAGGUCUCAGUACUGUUUCUGAGUCCAAGCAUGUAAUGCCCACCGCAAGACAUGCCUAGAAAUGGAGGGGCAAGUUGUUGUGGCGAGGAAUAGCAACUUCAUUUGGAAAGCCAGCAGACCAAGAAGACGGUGGACUCCUGACCCAAAGAACCACUUCCUUGAGGCAAAAUUCAGGCUUCUUUUAUACUAAAAGGGGAGGGGGCGCCAGAAUCUAUUGUUCUUGCAGCUGUCCCUGUAGAUCUAGUUGCAAUGUUCCCAUAAACCUCCACCAAGACAACUGUUGUUUCCUGUGCUGCAAUUUUUAUCGCUGUGUGAAUGGAAAAGUGUUAUCUCUUUAAAGGUCAGAGCCUUGACAAUGGGCUCUCCUGUGUAUUUCAGGCUAGAGGCAACAUUCCUUUAGGAAAGGUGCAGAGCCAGCCUGACCAAACACAGGCAGCAGAGCACAAGGGUUGGAGCUGAAGAAAUGGGUUCCCAGAGGAGUCAGGUUUGUUCUUCUCUGUUACAGUGUUAGGUAGAAUCAGUCCUUCUCACUCUACUUCUUUUUCAUGAUUGAUUUAGCCUGUUUCUGGGGCACGUGCCUUUGCAUAAAAUUUAAGAGUAAACCUGUGUCUACCAAAAAAAACCUUGCUGGGAUUUUGAUGGCAUUAUAUUGAACCUGUAAUCUGGGGAGAACUAAUGUAUUUGUUGUGUUGAGUCUUUCAAUCCAUUAACAUGGUAUGUCUCUUCUUUAUUUCAAUCUUUUUGGAUUUUUUUUCAUCAGCACUUUGUAAUUUUCAGGACGUAGAUCCUGUGUAUGUUUUGUCAAGCUUAUACUCGGUGUUUCGUUUUCUUUGGCAUGCCUGUAAAUGGCAUUAUUUCAGAGUUUCAUUUCUGUAUGUUUACUGUCAGUAAAUAGAAGUACUGUUUAUGUUUGUAUGUUGAUCUUGCAACAUUGCUGAACUCACUCACUAGUUCCAAGAGGUGUUUGGUAGCUUCCUGGGUAUUUUCUAUCUAUAAACAAGCAUGUCCCCUGCAAAUAAGUUUUUAAUUCUUCCUUUUCCAUAUGUAUGCCUUUUACUCAUUUCCCCCCCUUAUUACAGUUAAUGGCUAUAACUUCAAAAACUCUGUUGAACAAGGAUGAUGACCCAAAAAAGGAGCUUCCGCUGUGGUACUGCAGCAUUGGCAUUGUCUUGGGAGCACUGGGAGGCAGGUUCAUUCCCCAGCCUGGCACAGCACUGCUGCAGUCGUGGUUUCGUUUGAGACUGUGGCUCAGAUCUGAUCCCUGGCCCGGGAGCUGCAUAUGCCAUGGGGUGGCCAAAAAAGGAAAAAAAAAAAAAAAAAAAAAAAAGGCAUGAUGGGAGUAAACAUCCCUGCUUUUUCCUGACCUUAGGGGGGAAGCAUUCAGUCUUCCACCGUUAAGUAUGACAUAUGGUUUUUCUAAAUAUUCUUCAUCAAGUUGAGAGGGAUCUUCUCUAUUCCAAACUUCCUCAGAGUGUUUGGUGGUGAAUAAGUAUUAGAUUUCGUCGGAUACUUUUUCUGCAUUAAUUAAUGUGAUCAUAUGAUUUUUCUUUUUUAGUUUUGUUGAAACAGUAGAUUUCAGUCAUUGAUUUUCAAAUUCUGACCCAGACUUUGCAUACCUGGAAUAAAUCCCACUUGGUAAUGGGGUAUACUUCUUUUUAUGCAUUCUGAGACGUGAUUUGCUAGUAUUUUGUUAAGGGUAUUUAUGUCUAAGUUCACAAUCAGUAUUGGUCUAUAGUUUUUGGUGGUUUUUUUUUUGGUACUGGUUUUGUCUGGUUUGGGUAUCAGAUUAAUACUAGCUUCAUGAAAAUGCAUUGAGAAGUAUUUCCUCCUCUUCUGUUUUUGGGAAGUGAUUGUAUAAAAUUGGUAUAAUGUUAAUUCUUCUCUACGUGUUUGUUAGAAUUUUAUGAUGAAACCAGCUGCAUAUGGAAAUUUCUUUCUCAGGAGAUUCUGAACCACAAAUUCAGUUUUUAAGUGGUUAUAAAGCUACUGAGGUCAUAUGAUUCAUGUUGGUUAAGUUUUCGGAGUUUGUAGUUUUCAAGGAAUUAAUCUUCUAAGUUGUCGAAGUUGUGAGCCUAAAAUUGCAGAUUUUUAUUACUCAUUUUUUGUUUGUUUUUUGUUUUUUAGGGCCGCACACCUGGCAUAUGGAAGUUCCCAGCCCAGGGGUCAAAUCGGAGCUAUAGCUGCCAGUCACAGCCACAGCCACAACAACUCGGGAUCCAAGCUGACCUACACCGCAGCUCACAGCAACGCCGUGUCCUUUAACCCACUGAGCAAGGUCAGGGAUCGAACCCGCAUCUUCAUGGAUACUAGUUGGGUUCGUUACCACUAGCCACAGCAGGAACUCCUAUACUUCACUUUUAAAAGAUGAACAGUCUUAUGUAAUCUCGAUAAGCAAGGUUUUUGGAGAGAUCUCAGUAUUAGGUUUAAACAGGGAUUUGAGUAUGUGUGAGGAGGAGGUGUUUCAAAAGCUUGGUUGCAUACACAGGAACUGUAUCAGUUCUUAGGUGUAUAUUCAAGGACAUAUAUCAGAAUCUUGGGUAUUUGUCCAAGAAAGUGUUACAGAAUCUCAGGUAUAAACCCAAGAAUUUGUAACAGGAUCUCAGGUUUUACAGCCAAAAAGAUGUAUCAGAAUCUUGUAUACCCCAAGGAAGCUUAGCAGGCUUUCAUGGGGGUGGGGGUAAAGUAUAGUCUUCAAAAAUUCAUUUACUUUUAAAUGUAAAACAAUGUUAAAGAAGAAUAUGAGAUAAUUCUGUUUAUCAGAAGGGGACAUAGAUUUUAAAAGAUUGAGAAAGAAUGGUUGCAGCCUUGUAACCAGUUUACCCUAUGUGUGUAAAAAUGAUUGGUUCUAUUGUCCAAGAUGGAAUAACAGGAACAGAUGUACCUUCCUGCCAGAGAUAACCAGAAAUCCAGACAAAUAUAUGAAACAAGGUUUUUCAAGACAUUGGAUAUCAGGCAAAGAACAUACUGGUGGUUGAGAGGCAAAAACAACUAAGGUGAGAGGUGUGACUUGAGAGGGUUUCCAGGCCAUGGCGCAGGGAGGGGGAACCCAAGCUGAGCUUGGCAGCCUCUCCAAGUUGAGGAGAUGGAGCUGAGAAUCUGGACAGACCAACACGUUUAGUGUCCCCAGGGCAGAGUACCAAAGAGAGACCUUGGGAAAUCUGCUGUGUGCUGAUUGGUGCAGGCAUGUGGAGGACAACUGCUUGAGGCCAGGAAAAGAACCAUCUGAGAGGAUUAGAAGGAACAGUGGCCAGCACUCAAACUGGGCCAGGAACAGUGCCUGGCAUUUGUUCACAUGGGGCUGGGAACUGUGCCUGUUUCCACCUGCCAAUCUGGAAAACCUCAUACUUCAAGGGAAAUUUGAUACAGUCCUCGGAAAGAUCUUGCCUCAGUAGUGGGGAUAAUUGCAUUAGAUUACAUACGGCUGUUGUCCUGCCUGACAGAUCUCAAACAUAAAAUACAAAGGCAUCAUUUCCAAGUAAUUUAACUAUAUCCUGGAGCAAAGCUCAAGAAUAUUUAUAGGAGUACAAAACUAUCCAGCAUGACGAAGGUAAAAAAAAAAAUCACAAUAUCUGACAUCGAAUCAAAGAUUACUCGACAUGUAAGGAAGCAGGAAAAGAGGAAGCAUGAUGAGAGAAAAAAUCAAUUAAUGAAAAGCUAAGACCUGACAUAUAUGUUAGAUUUAGCAGACAUUAAAAUAGUUAUUAUGGCUGUAUUAUAGGUGUUCACAAAGUUAAGUAAAUACAGCAAAAGACACCACUUGAACUACACUGGAAAACACAGUGUCUGUACUUAAAACACACUAGACAGGAUUAACAGCAGAUUAGAUAUUGGAGAAGAAAAGAUUAGUGAACUUGAAGGCAUAGCAAUUCAAACUAAAAUGACACAUACAAAGGAAAAAUAAUAAUAAUAAUAAAAAAGAAAACAGCAUCAGUGAACUGUGGAUGUAUGCAUAAUUGGUGUCCCUGAGGACAGAAAAAAUAUUGGAAGAAACAAUGGGUUUGAUUCAUUGGGAAGACUUAACAAUUCUAAAAGUUUAUGAUUCUAAUAACAGAGCUUUAAAAUACAUGAAGCAAAAACUGAUAGAGCUACAAGGUGAAAGAGACAAACAAGAUUAUAGUCAGAGAUAAUACACUGAACAAAUAUAGAGAAUUCAGCACAAAUGUAAAAGAUUUGAACUACACUGUCAGCCGACUUGAACUAAUUGACAUUUUUAUAUAGCACACUCUACCCAAUAAGAGCAGAAUAUGCAUUAUUUUUAAGUGCAUACAGAACACUUACCAAGACGCAUCAUAUUCUUGGCCGUAAAACAAGCCUCAAUACAUUUUAAAAGGUUCCAUCAUACAGAGUGGAUUCUCUGACAUAAUGGAAUUAAAUUUGAUAUCAGUAACAUAACAUGAGUGAAAAAUCAUCAAAUAUUUGUAAACUAAAUGACAUCCUUCCAAACAAUCCAUGUGUCAAAAAAGAAAUCAAAGAAAAAAAUUAGAAUGUAUUUUGAACUGAAUGAAAAUAAAAACAACUUACUGAAGUUUAUGGCAGUACUGCUAUGGCAGUACUUAGGUGAAAAUCUAUAACACCAAACACCUAUAUUAGAAAA